rnacentral:rRNA from 1 species
CCCCACCCCACCCCGGUUCUCUUUCCUCUUUGAAUAUUAUCUUCCUAUUUCACAUUAUCUAUUUUACAUUUUAGUCCUCAUUUAUACUUUCAGUUUUUCACACCAGAGAAAUAAUUUGAUAUUUACACAUGUGUGACUUAUUUAUUUCACUUAAGAGUAUGGCCUCAAGAUGCAUCCAUUUAGCUAUACAUGUCUCUAGUUUAUCUUUCUUUAUGGCUGAGUAUUACUCCAUUCUAUAAAAAAACACUACAUCUUUAUUCAAUCACCAGUUGAUGGACAUCUGAACUGUUUCCAAGAUUUAGCUAUUACAAACUGUAACACUAUAAACAUGAGUGUGCAUAUAUCGCUGUGAUAUGAUGCUUUUAUUUCUUUUGGGAACGUUCCCGGAAGGGGAAUAGCUGGGUCCAAUGGGACUUCUAAUCCUAAUUUUUGAGGAAUUUCUACACUGAUUUCCACAGUAGUUUCACCAGUCUACACUCCCACUAACAGUGGAGAAGGGUUCCUUUUCCCCACAGCCCUGUCAGCAUUUGUUAUUGGUUGAUUCAUCUCAGGGAUGCAGAGAGGGUUCAACAUUCACAAAUUAAUAAAUGUAAUACAUUAUAUUAAUAGAACCAAGGACAAAAGACAUAUGAGCAUCUGAAUAGAUGCAGAAAAAGCAUUUGACAAAAUCCAACAUGCAUUUAUGAUAAAAACCCUAUAAAAUUGGAAUAGAUGGUCUCUACCUCAAUCUGAUAAAAGCCAUCUAUGAAAAAUCAACAGCCAAUAUCAUACUAAAUGGUUAAAAACUGCAAUCCUUCACACUAAAAUCAGAAACAAGACAAGGAUGUCCACUAUCACCACUCCUAUUCAAUACAGUUCUGGAAACAUUAGCCACAGCAAUUAGACAAGAGAAAGAAAUAAAAGGAAUAAAGACAGGAAAUGAAGAAGUCAAAUUGUCAUUAUUUGCAGGUGACAUGAUACACUAUAUAGAAGACCCCAAGAACACCACCAAAAGUCUUCUAGACUUAUUAACCAAAUUCAGUAGAGUAGUUGGAUACAAGGUCAACACAAAAAAAUCAAUAGCUUUCCUGUACACAAAAAACAAACUCACUGAGAAAGGAAUUGGAGAAACAACUCCCUUCACAAUAGCACCCCCAAAAAUGAAAUACCUAGGUAUUUGCAAACUUUAAAUGAGUAAGAAGCCUGGUUUGCUGGCGUGGGACCAGACAUGGAAUGCGAAUGCCUAAUGCCCCACUUUUGGUAAGCAAAACUGGCGCUGCGGGAUGAACCGAACGCCGGGUUAAGGCGCCCGAUGCCGACGCUCAUCAGACCCCAGAAAAGGUGUUGGUUGAUAUAGACAGCAGGACGGUGGCCAUGGAAGUCGGAAUCCGCUAAGGAGUAUGAUACAACUCACUUGCCGGGCCAACUAGCCCUGAAAAUGGAUGGCGCUGGAGCGUCAGCCCAUUCCUGGCUGUCACCAGCAGUGGGGUCUGGACCAGAGCAGGCUCAGCAGUGGCGGGGUCUGUCCAGGUCCUCCACAGGCUGACGUGCAGAUCUCGGUGGUAGUACUAAAUAUUCAAACAAGAACUUUGAAGGCCGAAGUGGAAAAGGGUUCCUUGUGAAUAGCAGUUGAACAUGGCUCAGUUGGUUCUGGGAGACAGGUGAGUGCCCUUCCGAAGAGACAGUCAAUGGCCUCUGUUGCCCCUGACCCACUGAAAGGGAGUUGGGUUCAGAUCCCUGAAUGAAUCCGAAGUGGUGGAGAGGGUCACUGAGGCUUCCAGUGGGGUAACGCGACCAAUCCGGAAGACAGUGCUCUUUUCUUUGUGAAGGGCAGGGUGCCCUGGAAUGGGUUCACCAGAGAGAGGGGCCUGCGGUGCCCACCUACAGGUACCUCGCUGGCCCACUGCGUUCCAGCUGACAAAUCCCCUCCCCCACCAGGUGGGAGCCCUCUGCCUCUGCUGGGCCUAGCAGGCGACUAAAGACUGAUGUUGCUCAGGGGAAUCAGACUGUUCAAUUAAAACAGCAUUGCAAAGGCCUGAAGAGGGUGUUGACGCAAUGUGAUUUCUGCCCAGAGCGUCAAAGUGAAGAAAUUCAGUGAAGCGCAGGUGAAGGGCUCGAGUAACUAUGACUCUCUUAAAGCAACCAAAAGCCUCCUCAUCUAAUCAGUGACUGUAUGAACAGGAUGAAAGAGAUUCCCACUGUCCCUACCUACUGUCCAUGGAAACCACAGCCAGGGGAACAGGCUUGAUGGAAUCAACGGGGAAAGAAGACCCUGUUGAGCUUGACUCUAGUCUGGCACGGUGAAGAGACAUGAGAGGUGUAGAAGAAGUGGGAGGCCCCCGGCGCCCCCGCGCCCCCCGCGUUCCCCCCGCGAGGGGGGGCCGGGGCGGGGUCCGCCGGCCUCGCGGGCCGCCGGUGAAAUACCACUACUCUGAUAGUUUUUUUACUGACCCAUCGUGUGUGUGAGGUGAGCUCUGGGAGACUCUUGCUUCUGGCACCAAGCACUUGGUGUCUGCUGGGCAUGACCCACUCCGGGGACAGUACCAGGUGGGGAGUAUGAUUGGGGUGUACACCUUUCAAAUGGUAACACAGGUGCCCUCCGGUGAGCUCAGGGAGGACAGAAACCUCUCAUGCAGCAGCAGGGCAAAAGCUUGCUUGAUCUUGAUUUUCACUAUGCAUACAGACCUUGAAAUCAGGGCUCAUGAUCUUUCUGACUUUGGGGUUUUAAGCAGGAGGUGUCAGAAAAGUUACCACAGGAUAACUGGCCUGUGGCAGCCAAGCGUUCAUAACAACACUUUUUGAUCCUUUGGUGGCAGCUCUUCCUAUCAUUGUGAAGCAGAAUGCAACAAGCACUGGAUUGUUUACCCACUAAUGGAGAAUGUGACCUGGGUUUAGAUGGUCAUGACACAAGUUAGUUUUACCCUACUGAUGAUGUGUUGUUGCCAUGGAAAUCCUGCUUAGUAGGAGUGGAACAACAGGUUCAGACAUUUGGUGUAUGUGCUUGGCUGGGGAGCCAAUGGGGUGAAGCUACCAUCUAUGGGAUUAUGACUGAAUGCCUCUAAGUCAGAAUCCACCCAGGAAGAAUGGUAAGGCAACACUGAAGGAGCCUCAGUUGCAGUUGGAUAGCCUGUCCCCCUCUAGUCCCUCCCAGUGGGCUGCCUCAUGCUUUCAUGGGCCUGGUGGUUGAUCUGCCCUUUCCUUCCUGUUGGUGCCCUUGUCAGCUAGUGGAUUUUGUGUAAAGUUGUUCAUUUGUUUUGUUUUGGUUCCUUUUUUUUGUACUGGGGAUCGAACUGAGGACCUUGGUGUGGCACCACUGAGCUAAAUCCCUGGGCCUCCUUUGCUUUUCUUGCCUUA